rnacentral:rRNA from 1 species
ACCGGGGGGGAUUACUUACCAUGCAGUCGAACGAUGAACCCGAAGCUUGCUUUGGGGGAUUAGUGGCGAACGGGUGAGUAACACGUGAGCAACCUGCCCCUCACUCUGGGAUAAGCGCUGGAAACGGCGUCUAAUACUGGAUACGAGACGCGACCGCAUGGUCAGUGUCUGGAAAGAUUUUUUGGUGGGGGAUGGGCUCGCGGCCUAUCAGCUUGUUGGUGAGGUAAUGGCUCACCAAGGCGUCGACGGGUAGCCGGCCUGAGAGGGUGACCGGCCACACUGGGACUGAGACACGGCCCAGACUCCUACGGGAGGCAGCAGUGGGGAAUAUUGCACAAUGGGCGGAAGCCUGAUGCAGCAACGCCGCGUGAGGGAUGACGGCCUUCGGGUUGUAAACCUCUUUUAGCAGGGAAGAAGCGAAAGUGACGGUACCUGCAGAAAAAGCACCGGCUAACUACGUGCCAGCAGCGGCGGGUAAUA